UGGGGAAUAUUGCACAAUGGAGGGAACUCUGAUGCAGCGACGCCGCGUGAGUGAUGAAGGGAUUCGUUUCGUAAAACUCUGUUCUAUGGGAAGAAAAGGACUGUACCAUAGGAGAAAGCUCCGGCUAAAUACGUGCCAGCAGCCGCGGUAAUACGUAUGGAGCGAGCGUUGUCCGGAAUUAUUGGGCGUAAAGGGUGCGCAGGCGGCUUUACAAGUUGGAUGUGAAAUAUUGUGGCUCAACCACAAACGUGCAUCCAAAACUGCAAAGCUUGAGUUAAGGAGAGGUAAGUGGAAUUCCUGGUGUAGCGGUGGAAUGCGUAGAUAUCAGGAGGAAUACCGGUGGCGAAGGCGACUUACUGGACUUAAACUGACGCUCAGGCACGAAAGCGUGGGGAGCAAACAGG
rnacentral:rRNA from 1 species